rnacentral:piRNA from 1 species
UGGGUGUGCUGACUGAUAGUGUUACUUGA